rnacentral:rRNA from 1 species
UACGUAGGGCGCAAGCGUUGUCCGGAAUUAUUGGGCGUAAAGAGCUCGUAGGCGGCCUGUUGCGUCCGCUGUGAAAUCCCGGGGCUCAACCCCGGGCCUGCAGUGGAUACGGGCUGGCUAGAGGCAGGCAGGGGAGAACGGAAUUCCUGGUGUAGCGGUGAAAUGCGCAGAUAUCAGGAGGAACACCGGUGGCGAAGGCGGUUCUCUGGGCCUUACCUGACGCUCAGGCGCGAAAGCUAGGGGGAGCGAACUGG